GUGCCAGCAGCCGCGGUAAAACGUAGGAGGCAAGCGUUAUCCGGAUUUACUGGGUGUAAAGCGCGUGCAGGCGGUCUGUCAAGUCGCGUGUGAAAGCGCCCGGCUCAACCGGGCGAGGCCGCGCGAAACUGAGAGACUGGAGGCCGGUAGAGGCGUGUGGAAUUCCGGGUGUAGUGGUGAAAUGCGUAGAGAUCCGGAGGAACACCAGUGGCGAAGGCGACACGCUGGACCGAGCCUGACGCUCAGACGCGACAGCAUGGGGAGCGAACGGGAUUAGAUACCCCCGUAGUCC
rnacentral:rRNA from 1 species